rnacentral:rRNA from 1 species
UUGGAGGGCAAGUCUGGUGCCAGCAGCCGCGGUAAUUCCAGCUCCAAUAGCGUAUAUUAAAGUUGUUGCAGUUAAAAAGCUCGUAGUUGAAUUUCGGGGUUAGUAGGUUGGUCAUGCUUCUGGUAUGUACUGGUCUCACUGAUUCCUCCUUCCUGAUGAACCUUAAUGCCAUUAAUUUGGUGUUUUGGGGAAUUUGGACUGUUACUUUGAAAAAAUUAGAGUGUUUAAAGCAAGCUAACGCUUGAAUACAUUAGCAUGGAAUAAUGAAAUAGGACGUUCGAUCCUAUUUUGUUGGUUUCUAGGAUUGACGUAAUGAUUAAUAGGGAUAGUUGGGGGCAUUAGUAUUCAAUUGUCAGAGGUGAAAUUCUUGGAUUUAUUGAAGACUAACUACUGCGAAAGCGUUUGCCAAGGAUGUUUUCAUUAAUCAAGAACGAAAGUUAGGGGAUCGAAGACGAUCAGAUACCGUCGUAGUCUUAACCAUAAACUAUGCCGACUAGGGAUCGGAUGAUGUUAAUUUUUUAAUGACUCAUUCGGCGCCUUACGGGAAAC